CAGUAGCCGCGGUAAUACCGAGGGUGCGAGCGUUAAUCGGAUUUACUGGGCGUAAAGCGUGCGUAGGCGGCUUCUUAAGUCGGAUGUGAAAUCCCUGAGCUUAACUUAGGAAUUGCAUUCGAUACUGGGAAGCUAGAGUAUGGGAGAGGAUGGUAGAAUUCCAGGUGUAGCGGUGAAAUGCGUAGAGAUCUGGAGGAAUACCGAUGGCGAAGGCAGCCAUCUGGCCUAAUACUGACGCUGAGGUACGAAAGCAUGGGGAGCAAACAGGAUUAGAUUACCCCAGUAGUCCCUGUCUCUUAUA
rnacentral:rRNA from 1 species